rfam:Theobroma cacao cultivar Matina 1-6 chromosome 8, whole genome shotgun sequence.
GGGGGUGUAACUCAUAUGCUAGAGCGCUCGCUUCGCAUGCGAGAGGCACGGGGUGCGAUUCUCCGCACCUCCA